UUAAAAUAAGUAAAAUAUGCAUACGGAAAAGAUCACAGUGACUGGUCAUCAUUACAGGUACCUUAAGGUAGCAGCUAAUUAAAGAAUAAAUAUUUCUAGAGGAAUGAGUAGAAAUAACCAUGGGAAUACAAAGGAUGGUAAGACAGCACAAUACAAUCAUAUGUUCAUAUAGGAAGCAUGGUUUCACAGCUAUGCAA